rnacentral:rRNA from 1 species
CGGGCGUGGCGCCGGUCUAAGUUCCUUGGAACGGGGCGUCAUAGAGGGUGAGAAUCCCGUAUGUGACCGGUGACCAGGUCUAUGUGAAACUCCUUCGACGAGUCGAGUUGUUUGGGAAUGCAGCUCAAAAUGGGUGGUAAAUUUCAUCUAAAGCUGAAUACCGGCCAGAGACCGAUAGCGCACAAGUAGAGUGAUCGAAAGAUGAAAAGCACUUUGGAAAGAGAGUCAAAAAGUACGUGAAAUUGUUGAAAGGGAAGCGCUUGCAACCAGACCUGCCCGCGGACGAUCAGCCGUCCCUUAGGGCGGUGCACGCGCUCGCGAACAGGCCAGCAUCGGUUCGGGCGGUCGGAUAAAGGCCUUGGGAACGUAGCUCCUCUCGUGGAGUGUUAUAGCCCUCGGCGUAAUGCGGCCUGCCUGGAUCGAGGAUCGCGCUUCGGCUAGGAUGCUGGCGUAAUGGUUGUAAGCGGCCCGUCUUGAAACACGGACCAAGGAGUCUAACAUCUAUGCGAGUGUUUGGGCGUUAAACCCAUACGCGUAAUGAAAGUGAACGGAGGUAGGAACCCACGAGGGCGCACUAUCGACCGAUCCUGAUGUCUUCGGAUGGAUUUGAGUACGAGCAUAGCUGUUGGGACCCGAAAGAUGGUGAACUAUGCCUGAAUAGGGUGAAGCCAGAGGAAACUCUGGUGGAGGCUCGCAGCGGUUCUGACGUGCAAAUCGAUCGUCAAAUUUGGGUAUAGGGGCGAAAGUAAGUUUGAAUAAUU